rnacentral:rRNA from 1 species
UACGUAGGGGGCAAGCGUUGUCCGGAUUUAUUGGGCGUAAAGAGCGUGUAGGCGGCUUUACAGGUCCGUUGUGAAAACUCGAGGCUCAACCUCGAGACGCCGGUGGAAACCGUAAAGCUAGAGUCCGGAAGAGGAGAGUGGAAUUCCUGGUGUAGCGGUGAAAUGCGCAGAUAUCAGGAAGAACACCCGUGGCGAAGGCGGCUCUCUGGGACGGUACUGACGCUGAGGUGCGAAGGCUAGGGGAGCAAACGGG